UCCUUGGUGGCUCAGUGGUAAAGAAUCUGCCUGCAAUGCAGGAGAUGCAGGUUCCAUCCCUGGUCGGGAAG
rnacentral:tRNA from 1 species